rnacentral:rRNA from 1 species
AAAUGAAUUGACGGGGGCCCGCACAAGCGGAGGAGCAUGUGGUUUAAUUCGAUGAUACGCGAGGAACCUUACCUGGGCUUAAAUGUAGAGUGACGUUCUGUGAAAGCAGAAUUUCCGUAAGGACAAACUACAAGGUGCUGCAUGGCUGUCGUCAGCUCGUGCCGUGAGGUGUUGGGUUAAGUCCCGUAACGAGCGCAACCCCUAUCAUUAGUUGCCAUCAGGUCAAGCUGGGAACUCUAAUGAAACUGCCCGCGCAAGCGGUGAGGAAGGUGGGGAUGACGUCAAGUCAGCACGGCCCUUACGUCCAGGGCUACACACGUGCUACAAUGGCCGAUACAGAGGGUCGCUACCUGGUGACAGGAUGCAAAUCUCGAAAGUCGGUCUCAGUUCGGAUCGAAGUCUGCAACUCGACUUCGUGAAGUUGGAUUCGCUAGUAAUCGCGCAUCAGCAAUGGCGCGGUGAAUACGUUCCCGGGCCUUGUACACACCGCCCGU